ensembl:snoRNA
AGUGGUGUCUAUCCUAACAGGGCUCCUUUUGUAAAAGCUGCAUAUUGUUGAAAAUACCUCAUACAGUAACCCUAUGCCUUUGCUUUACUCACAGGACUAAUUUUUUUUUUUAGAUCUGUGGGAAUCAACUACAAGAGAGUA